rnacentral:rRNA from 1 species
GACGAACGCUGGCGGCGUGCUUAACACAUGCAAGUCGAACGGAAAGGCCCUGCUUUUGUGGGGUGCUCGAGUGGCGAACGGGUGAGUAACACGUGAGUAACCUGCCCUUGACUUUGGGAUAACUUCAGGAAACUGGGGCUAAUACCGGAUAGGCGCUCCUGCUGCAUGGUGGGGGUUGGAAAGUUUCGGCGGUUGGGGAUGGACUCGCGGCUUAUCAGCUUGUUGGUGGGGUAGUGGCUUACCAAGGCUUUGACGGGUAGCCGGCCUGAGAGGGUGACCGGCCACAAGGGGACUGAGAGACGGCCCAGACUCCUACGGGAGGCAGCAGUGGGGAAUAUUGCACAAUGGGCGGAAGCCUGAUGCAGCAACGCCGCGUGCGGGAUGACGGCCUUCGGGUUGUAAACCGCUUUCGCCUGUGACGAAGCGUGAGUGACGGUAAUGGGUAAAGAAGCACCGGCUAACUACGUG